rnacentral:snRNA from 1 species
UUCUAUUGCGAUAAACAUAUACUAAAAUUGGAACAAUACAGGGAAGAUUAGCAUGAUCUCUGCACUCCGCGAUGACAUACAAAUUCAUGAAGCAUCCCAGAUUUUU